AUUGAACGCUGGCGGCAGGCCUAACACAUGCAAGUCGAGCGGCAGCACUUCGGGUGGCGAGCGGCGAACGGGUGAGUAAUGCAUGGGAAUCUGCCUGAUAGUGGGGGAUAACUCUGGGAAACUAGAGGUAAUACCGCAUACGUCCUACGGGAGAAAGCGGGGGAUCUUCGGACCUCGCGCUAUCAGAGGAGCCCAUGUCCGAUUAGCUAGUUGGUGAGGUAAAGGCUCACCAAGGCGACGAUCGGUAACUGGUCUGAGAGGAUGGUCAGUCACACUGGAACUGAGACACGGUCCAGACUCCUACGGGAGGCAGCAGUGGGGAAUUUUGGACAAUGGGCGCAAGCCUGAUCCAGCCAUGCCGCGUGAGUGAAGAAGGCC
rnacentral:rRNA from 1 species